AAAGUCGUAACAAGGUUUCCGUAGGUGAACCUGCGGAAGGAUCAUUAACAAAUCCUGGAUUGUUGCAUGGGUGCACGUGUCGUUGAACCAGGGAUCCGUUCCUGUUCAUUCGAUUAGUGCAUCCUCGACAAUACACACGUUCCAUGUGCAUUCAAUUGUGCAUGACAACAUUUCUACGAAUCAUCUGAUUGUCACAUUAAUUUAAUUUACAAAAGACUUUUAACAAUGGAUCUCUAGGCUCUU
rnacentral:misc_RNA from 1 species